GUUCCUCGAUGUAUGUCAAGGCACAAAAGUGGCGCUAUAUCGUUUCAACCUACUCAGGUAAGAAUUUCCAAGACCUUUUAUACAAUUUUACGGUUAAUUAGUCAAAGUUGCAACAACUAGCUAUGGUGUAAAACAGAUGUCCACGGGCUUCCCGUGUCUCCUGAUAUGUUUUAAAGUAAAAAAGCCGACCACUUAGCAGUAAAUGUUUAACCCGCCUGAGAUUGUAUUUAUUUCUCAUCCUCUUGCCUCUGCCCUCUUAUUGUUUCGCUCUGUCUCUAAUGGCGGACGUGAGGCGCUCCUGCUUGCUGACGGAAGAGGGGUCCAUGAAGUCUGGCCUCCUGCUCCUGACAGAGUCCUGGUACCACAGCAUCACAGAUUUUAUUGGAUCAUACUCCCUGAUCUCUGGAGAGGACAGCUGGACCAUAAGGAAAUCUGACAGUGUAUCAGAUUUUAUGUUGGACCGCCAAUUGGUUUUAAUCUGUUUCAUGGUAUUAAAACCUCUUUCACAUUCAGCUGUGGAGGCAGGGAAGGACAGGACCAGGUCAACCAAUGCCAGCAAGUCAGGGCAGGAAUGCUGAUGGCUCCUGUUGACAUGGAACCAGGACCUCUUCUGCAGGGACUGGGGCUCUUGGUACAUCAGCACCUUCAGGACAGUCCACUGGUCAGGGAUCCUUUCAACAUGGAUGCCAGAGGUCUCCAGGACAGGCUUGAAGGGUUUCCAGUUCAGAGUUUCCAAAAUCUAGAAUAAUUGUAUACAUUACAAUACAACAAGCAUCAUGCAGCUUUAAUUCUCCAACUAUAAAAAUAUGAUAAUGAUCCUAACCUGACUGCCCUGUAAUACAAAACAUAAAGUAGCCUGCUGCUGCAUCUCCUGACUCUGGCCAGUUAGUGAAGUUGACCAGCUUGGUGGCACACAGGACCCCUACACUGGCGUCCUGGAACCUGUCAGUCAUACUCUCGACUAGCCUGUCAAGCAUUUUGGCCUGUGAGGUGACGAGGGUCUUGCUGUCACCUCUGGUCAGCAAAAUUCCCUCAUUUGUUGGCCAUUGUGGCCUUCAUCAUGGGCCCUUCUCUGAUGACAAAAAGGCUCAUUUUAACAUCCUUUUGUAAUUUUCCUUUACAACACACUCUCUCUCUUAUUGACGUAAUCCUUUCUCUUAAUUCUCUUAACCUGUUAUGGAUAGGGGGAAGUAUUUUCACAGCCGGAUAAAAAACGUACCCGAUUUAAUCUGAUUAUUAGUCCUGCCCAGAAACUAGAAUAUGCAUAUAAUUAUUAGCUUUGGAUAGAAAACACUCCAAAGUUUCUAAAACUGUUUGAAUGGUGUCUGUGAGUAUAACAGAACUCCUAUGGCAGGCAAAAACCUGAGAAGGUUCUGUUCAGGAAGUACCCUGUCUGAACAUUUCUUGCCCUUGUUGAUUCUCUCUAUCUAUUACAAGGGAUCUCUGCUGUUACGUGACACUUCCCACGUCUCCAAUGGGGUCUCAGAGCCCGGGAAAAACAGGAAUGACGUAAUUCAAAGCCCUGGCUGAAACACACGAGAGCAAAAGCUAUCAGUGGAGAAAUGCUUAGGCUCGUGACCUGCCUCGCCCCCGUCUUUCGGUUUUUCCCUCAGUUUACAGACAUGCAGAUUCCCGGUCGGAAUAUUAUCGCUUUUCUACGAGAUAAAUUGCAUAAAAAUGUAUUUUAAACAGCGGUUGACAUGCUUCGAAGUACGGUAAUGGAAUAUUUAGAAAAUUUUUGUCACAUUCCGCGCCAUGCGCACGACCGUGAUUUACCAUUGGGAUAGUGUCUAGAACGCACGAACAAAACGUUGUUGAUGGAACAUAACGAUGGAUUAUUUGGGACCAAACCAACAUUUGUUAUUGAAGUAGAAGUCCUGGGAGUGCAUUCUGACAAAGAACAGGAAAGGUAAGACCAUUUUUCUUAUAGGAAAUGUGAUUUUGGUGAAGGCUAAACUGGUUGGGUGUCUAAAUAGCUAGCCCUGUGAUGCCGGGCUAUGUACUUAGAAUAUUGCAAAAUAUGCUUCAUCCGAAAAGCUAUUUUAAAAUCGGACAUAUCGAGUGCAUAGAGGAGUUCUGUAUCUAUAAUUCUUAAAAUAAUUGUUAUGCUUUUUGUGAACGUUUAUCGUGAGUAAUUUAGUAAAUUCACCGGAAGUGUUCGGUGGGAAUGCUAGUUCUGAACGUCACAUGCUAAUGUAAAAAGCUGGAUUUUGAUAUAAAUAUGAACUUGAUUGAACAGACAUGCAUGUAUUGUAUAACAUAAUGUCCUAGGUGUGUCAUCUGAUGAAGAUAAUCAAAGGUUAGUGCUGCAUUUAGCUGUGGUUUUGUUUUUUGUGACAUAUGCUAGCUUGAAAAAUGGGUGUCUGAUUAUUUCUGGCUGGGUACUCUGCUGACAUAAUCUAAUGUUUUGCUUUCGUUGUAAAGCCUUUUUGAAAUCGGACAGUGUGGUUAGAUUAACGAGAGUCUUGUCUUUAAAUAGCUGUAAAAUAGUCAUAUGUUUGAGAAAUUGAAGUAAUAGCAUUUCUAAGGUAUUUGAAAAUCGCGCCACAGGAUUCAACUGGCUGUUACGUAGGUGGGACGAUUUGGUGCCACCUGCCCUAGAGAGGUUAAAAGGAACCACCAGCUUUCAUAUGUUCUCAUGUUCUGAGCAAGGAACUUAAACGUUAGCUUUUUUACAUGGCACAUAUUGCACUUUUACUUUCUUCUCCAACACUUUGUUUUUGCAUUAUUUAAACCAAAUUGAACAUGUUUCAUUUAUUUGAGGCUAAAUUGAUUUUAUUGAUGUAUUAUAAUAAGUUAAAAUAAGUGUUCAUUCAGUAUUGUUGUAAUUGUCAUUAUUACAAAUCAAUAAAAAAAUUUAAAAAAUCAGCCGAUUAAUCAGUAUCGGCUUCCUUUGGUCCUCCAAUAAUCGGUAUCGGCGUUGAAAAAUCAUAAUCGGUCGACCUCUAGGUUUGAUGGCAAGAAAUUAUGAGUUGCAUUUGCAGUCUAGCAACAGGAACAUGCAAUAACAUCUGCUGAACGUGUACGUGACAAAUAACAUUUUAUUUGACUAGAAUAUUCUGUAAUUUAGCAUAUUCCGGUGUUUCAAAACCGUAAGAAACUGAUUAGUGAACUUGACCCCCACCCAUUUUUUCUGAUGUCAUCAAGCAAAGAAACAAACAAACCUUGGAAUGAAAUUUUCCAAAUGGAAACAAAUGUAUUACAGCUCUUUUUUUUUUUUUUUGCUGUGUGUCGCAUUACAUGGGUUUUUGUAAGCCUGACACAUUAAUUAAACUACUUGAUUUUGCCUAGGCUUCAGAAUUGUAUGAUAAUUCACGUUGCACUUGGAGAAUAUUAACCCUUUAUUGUCCAUGGUUUGAGACAAAAUGGAUCCCAUGAUGCUGAGGCAGUUGCUGUGUUUACUAUGUUGUCAUAACAAAAUGACCAUUCAGUUGUGUUCAGCUUUGGUCUUUGGGGGUGUCCAUCACACUCAUGAACGGCUGUGCAACAGCAUUGGCAUUCUAUGUCUCUGUGGCAACUACAAUCAGUUGCAGUCUACAAUCUUGUUUGGUAUAGUGGACUGGAUUAUACAUGGACCCAAACUGGAGAAUGAGCAUGGCGAGGUAGUGCUGCAUCUCGGCUCCCGUUUGGUGCCUACUGCCUAGUACUGAAUGUUAGCCUGAUGUCUACCUUCAGAUAACAACCAACCCCCAUGGUAGUCUCCUGGUCACUAUGGCAACCAAGGUGUUGGAUCACUUGGCAACAGAGAUGGUAGAGGUGGAUGAAGGGGGAGGAGAGAGACAGAGGGUAGAUAUGUGACACUGUUUGUAGGGGGAGGUAGAGGUUUGAAUGAGAGGAGAACCUGAACAGAAGGAGUAGAGGGAGACCAAAAUGGGUAGGUGGGACUAGAAAGAGGGAAAGAAUGAGAGGGAGAGAAAAUGUGCAGAGAUUAGUAUUCUUGCAGGACAGUGGCUCCCCUGGACAAUCAGUGGUAUUGCAGGGCUUUUUAUGCUCCACAUACAACCCUAUCAUUGUCCCCUGAACAGUCAUGUUCCAAAUACACCAAUACUGUGCAGGCAUGCACAGAAUGUCAGGUAUGUUUUACAAUGCCUAGGGAAGUCUCCAGAAUUCCUGCAUAGAAUUUGUGUGUCUGGAAAGCAACCACCGUCUCUUAACUGGACUUUACCUGAGCAGAGCUCAUUAAUGAUUCUUAAGAAAUCCACCUGCUAGCCUAAAAAGUGGUUGGCUAUUUCUUAUUUUUUCACAUAUACACAGCUUGUACCUGGAAUACUUGCACUCAACAUGUUUACCAUGGACUAUGCUUAUGGUAGGUUUAUCCUAAUAACCUGUGCUGUGUUUGUUUGGG
ensembl:lncRNA uncharacterized LOC115155750